ensembl:lincRNA Gm3764 predicted gene 3764
AUUCAAUCACAGCCUCAAGUUCAAAAGUGAAUUAAAACUCAAAGAAGCCUGGGGACAGGGACAAGAGUACUUCUGUCAUUCAUUCUCUUCCCCUGCUUCCUUGGGGACAAGGGUGGCCUGGAGGAACAAUAGUGUCCCCUGGCCCCUUCUUCCUGCAUUGGGUUAGAAAAGGCAGCAGAAAGCAGUGGGGAUGACAAAGACACACACACACACACACACACACACACACACACACACACACACACACACCCCAGGCUUGAGAAGGGAGGAGGAGGAGGCGUCUCUGGCUGGACGGACAGACUGUUAUUUUGGUGGUGGGCAUGGUCCCAGAUAGGGGCAGCGUUCCCCUUUUUCCUGGCUUUUCAGGGAGAGCAGCAAGAGAAAGAAAGAAGCAAACGAAAUUCCUGAAUGGAUAAGAGAUGCUACGUCAGCGGUACUGGAGCCGCAUCCUCCACUCCACGAGAAGAGAAGAGAAGAGCUAGGAGAGACCAGCGGGCGGUAGCUGCGGCGAGUGGCCUCUCCGUGCGGCACAGAGGCAAGAAGCAGCCAUCCAUCCAGAAGCAGCCUCCGUGUUCCGUUUGUCCGGAUGUCAUCGUAGGUGGCCGGCAUCUCUGGCUUUGGGGCAGACAUCCUGCACUACAUUCCAGAUCUGAUGAGGCAUGGCUGCCCCAGGAUUACUGGGCUCGGACGGGAGCAGUGGUAGGAAGGAUCCUAUAUAAGUCAUGUGAGACAUAGAAUGUUCAGAUCAACUGAAGCUGAAACAAGCCUUUGGCAUCAUAUAUAACCCAGAAAGGGACAAAGCUGAUCCCAGAGGACUCAAGGCUAUGGGUGAUGUCGAAGGUGCGGAAGAAUCAAGUUGGAAAGACCAGCAGGAGACAGACAGAGUAAGGUUCCUUGAAUGCUUGGUUUAUGUGCCUGGCUGGAGGAGACACCCAUGGCCUUGCAGAGGGAGCGUUCUGGUGGGAAAGCAGACACAACCCACCCUAGGCCCGUGGUUUCCCUGCAAGAAGCCCAGUGGCUUUCUGGAGGACACUUUUCCUGGAGGAAGUGACUCAAGCACAAGUUCUUGGUCUCUUCCUGUUGAUCAG